rnacentral:rRNA from 1 species
UACGUAGGGUGCGAGCGUUGUCCGGAAUUAUUGGGCGUAAAGAGCUCGUAGGCGGUUUGUUGCGUCGGCCGUGAAAACCUGCAGCUUAACUGUGGGCCUGCGGCCGAUACGGGCAGACUUGAGUUCGGUAGGGGAGACUGGAAUUCCUGGUGUAGCGGUGAAAUGCGCAGAUAUCAGGAGGAACACCGGUGGCGAAGGCGGGUCUCUGGGCCUUACCUGACGCUCAGGUGCGAAAGCUAGGGGAGCGAACAGG